UUGAACGCUGGCGGUAUACUUUACACAUGCAAGUCGAACGGCAGCACAAAACAACCUGGUAGCAAAUGACGAACAAAUAAGUAACAUAUCGGAACAUAUCCGGAAGUAAAGGAUAACAUAGCGAAAGUUACGCUAAUACCGCAUAUGCCCUGAGGGAAAAAAAAAGGAUCACAAGACCUCUCGCUUUCGGAGUGGCCGAUAUCGGAUUAGCUAGAUGGUGAGGUAAAGGCUCACCAUGGCGACGAUCCGUAGCUGGUCUGAGAGGACGACCAGCCACACUGGAACUGAGACACGGUCCAGACUCCUACGGGAGGCAGCAGUGGGGAAUUUUGGACAAUGGGCGCAAGCCUGAUCCAGCCAUACCGCGUGAGUGAAGAAGGCCUUCGGGUUGUAAAGCUCUUUCAGCCGGAAAGAAAUCGCACUAAUUAAUACCUUGUGUGGAUGACAGUACCGGAAAAAGAAGCACCGGCUAACUACGU
rnacentral:rRNA from 1 species